GAUGAAGAACGCAGCGAAAUGCGAUACUUGGUGUGAAUUGCAGAAUCCCGUGAACCAUCGAGUCUUUGAACGCAAGUUGCGCCCGAAGCCAUUAGGCCGAGGGCACGCCGCCUGGGCGUCACACGUCGUUGCCCCCCCAUCUACUCCUUCGGGAUUGCGGGGGGCGGAUGAUGGCCUCUCGUGCGCCUCGUCGCGCGGUUGGCCUAAAUGCCAAGUCCUCGGCGACGCACGCCACGACAAUCGGUGGUUGCGAAACCUCGGUUGCCUGUCGUGUGCGGUCGUCGCGCAUCGAGGGCUCGAAAAAAUUGCCGGGCUUCGGCUCGACUUUCAACGCGACCCCAGGUCAGGCGGGGUUACCCGCUGAAUUUAAGCAUAUCAAUAAGCGGAGGA
rnacentral:misc_RNA from 1 species